AUUUCUUCUCUUCCAUAACUCCCAUACAACGCAUGCAGGUAAAGCUUGAAAAACUGAUUUCAAUCUAGGUACAACUGGAUUCGUCCAGCAUUUUGUAAUUGCUUGAUGUAAAGACAAACCUUCUGAAUGAAUUCCUGCUCUGGUUAGAAAGUACCUCCAUACAAUCGAAGUUGUAUUUGAUGUGAAGAAAAGAUGAACUAGAGACUCUUCCUUAGAAUCAGCACAACACCAACAUUUAGAAGCAAUUGAGUAUCCUAUUCUACGCAAGAAGUCAUCAAGUGGCAAUUUUUCUUUCCAUACCUUCCACAAAAAGAAAGAUAUCUUGAAAGGUAGGCCUUUGACCCAUAUCAUCCUGUAAGUGGAUACAUCAUGAAGUGAUCUGAAACCUAUACCCCCUUCCUCAUAAGGCAGACAUAGGUUAGUCCAGGAUGACCAAUGUCUUGAAUUUCCUCCCACAUUACUGCUCCAGAAGAAUUUUGCAAAAAUGCUAUGUAAUUUGGUAAUGACACAAUUAGGAGGAUUAACUGCUGAUAACAUAUGAAUUGGCAUACUUUGCAGAACAUUUGUGAUCAAUAUAGCCCUGUCGCCUACCGAGAGGAGCUUUCCUUUCCACGACUGCAGUCUGUCCAUAACCUUUGUCAUUAACGUCGGGUAGUAAUCACUCUGUCUUCUUGCAUAAAAUAUAGGACAUGCAAGAUAUGUCAUUGGGAAACAUUAUUUUCCUGUACCAGUAAUCCUUUCCACCUUGUUAAUCACCACAUCUUUCGUUGAAUGAUGCAGAUAUAUGGCUGAUUUGGCUUUAUUGAUCAAUUGACCAGAUGCUGCUUCAUAGGCUUGCAGAACCUCCAUCACAAGUGUCAGGGACAUUUCAUCUGAUGAGCAGAAAAUGAUUGUAUCAUCCGCAUAAGCCAGGUGGUUUCGAUCAAUUGACCAGAUGCUGCAUCAUAAGCUUGCAGAACCUCCACCACAAGUGUCAGGUACAUUUCAUCUGAUGAGCAAAAAAUGAUUGUAUCAUCCGCAAAAGCUAGGUGGUUUAUUUUUGGGCUCCAUUUAGGAAGUCUAAAUCCGCUGAAAAACCGGUUAUUAUGCAGUGAAUUCAAACCUCUAGACAAAGCUUCUGCUGCUAGAACGAAUAAGGUAGGUGACAGAGGGUCUCCCUGCUUUACUCCCCUAGAAGAUUUGAAAAAACCAUUUGGUUGUCCAUUUAUUAGAAUAGAGUACCAGUUAUUCCCAAUCAAAUCAUAUAUCAAGCCGAUAAAAUCUUCUGGAAAACCCAUCUUUCUUAGCACUUUUGUCAAGAAAAGCCAUGAUAAUCUAUCAUACGCUUUUGUCAUAUCUAGCUUUAUCACCACAUUUGGUCCUGCUUUAGUUCUCACCCUGAUAUCCUUAAUGAUUUCUUGUGUUAGCAGAACAUUCUCUACAAUAUUUCUUCCCUUCACGAAACCUGCUUGCUCCUCCGAGAUGAUGUUUGGUAAUAGUUCCCUCAACCUUUUAUGAAUGACUCUUGAGAAAAUCUUGUUAACAAAGUUACUAAGACUGAUAGGUCUCAAGUCUGCAAAAGUAUUCACUUCUUUUUUCUUUAGCAAUAAAACCAGAUUUGUGUGCGUGACACUCUUUGGGAGUUGGUGACCGCAGAAGAAAUAAUUCACCAUGUUGACCACAUCUUCUUCAAUGAUGUCCCAGCAUGAUUGGUAGAAAGCUCCAGUGAAACCGUCUGGACCGCCUGCUGAAUCCC
rnacentral:lncRNA from 1 species